rnacentral:rRNA from 1 species
AGAGAGAGACAUGCGCGCAUAUCAAUAAGCGGAGGAAAAGAAACUAACAAGGAUUCCCUCAGUAACGGCGAGUGAAGCGGGAAGAGCUCAAAUUUGAAAUCUUCAAGGUUUUACCUUGACGAAUUGUAGUUUAAAGAAGUGUUUUCUGCUGAAGUUUUGGUAAAAGUUCUUUGGAAUAGGACAUCAUAGAGGGUGAGAAUCCCGUAUUUGACCAUUAUUUUCAGCUUUGUGAUACACUUUCAAAGAGUCGGAUUGUUUGGGAAUGCAGUCCAAAAUGGGUGGUAAAUUUCAUCUAAAGCUAAAUAUUGGCGAGAGACCGAUAGCGAACAAGUACCGUGAGGGAAAGAUGAAAAGAACUUUGAAAAGAGAGUUAAACAGUACGUGAAAUUGUCAAAAGGGAAGCGUUUGACACCAGUGUUGUUUUCUCGAAAAUCAAUUAAAAAUGGCUCGAUUUUGUACUUGCUUGAGACCUUAAAAGCUCACUGUACAUUUUUCGUGUCUUUUUUAAUGCACUUUUCGUUUAACAAGUCAACAUCAGUUUCUUUUUGUUGUAAAAGGGUCAUUGGAAGGUGGCUUUCUUUUCGGAGAAAGUGUUUAUAGCCUUUGGCCUCUGCAAUCGGAAGAGGACUGAGGUCUGCAGCGUAGACUCUUCGGGGUUAGAUACAUUUGUGCUAAGUUAUAGCUUUUUAUAGACAACUUGUUGACUAUAAUUAGUCUUGUAGCUUACUCGCUUAUGCUAUUUUACCUACGCUUAGGAUGUUGAAGAUGUAGCACAUCAU